rnacentral:lncRNA from 1 species
GUUGGUGGCUUGAUCUAGCUUUCAGUAACUGGAAGUACUGCCAUAUCUGGGGUUGAAGUCAUAAAACUUUGCUCAAUGCUCGGAGCACAAAAAUCAUGCUCGAAACAUUAAAUCCAGCAUUUUGAUUGGUUGAUUCUUGAGUCUGAGUACAGAAAUCGUGCUCGAAAGUUUUAUGACCGCAAGGCCUGUACUUUGAGUCUGAAGUGUUCUGUGCUUUGUAUUGAUAUAAUGAGUUAAGCCAUUUUCAACUGAACUUUAUAGUACGUUCUAAUGUUGUGCUGUUUAUAUGUAGCUGCCCAAUUUUAUGGGAGGUUUGCUUUACCCAAAGUCAGGAGCCUGUAAUUCAGUUGUUGCCUUUUGUUACUGUAUAACAUAUUUUUUUUCUUUAUUCUUAAAUAAAUCAAGAUGUUAGUUUUCUUGUUAAAAUUAUUUUACAUUUGUCAUUUCUGGGCCUUUUAUAGAGUGCUACGAGGUAU